CUUGCCAGGGAACUACGAGCCGAAGCUUAAAACCCAAAGGACUUGGCGGUGCUUUAGACCCCCCUAGAGGAGCCUGUUCUAGAACCGAUGACCCCCGUUCAACCCUACCCUUUCUUGCUACAGUUCAGUCCUUAUACCUCCGUUGUCAGCGUACCCUCUGAGGGAACUCCAAAGUAGGCAUAAUUGAUAAUUUUAUCCAAAACGACAGGUCGAGGUGACGCUCACGAAAGGGAAUGAAAUGGGCUACAUUCACUGCCUCAGUGAACACGAACAAUGCAUUUGAAAUAAGCAUUUAAAGGUGGAUUUAGCAGUAAGAGGGAAGUAGAGUGCCCCUCUGAAGCCCGGCCCUGAAGCGCGUACACACCGCCCGUCACUCUCCCCAAAAACACACCCCAUGUUUAAAUAAACAAACAAAAAUAGAAAGGGGAGGUAAGUCGUAACAUGGUAAGUGUACUGGAAAGUGUACUUGGAAAAAAAU
rnacentral:rRNA from 1 species